GAUGAACGCUGGCGGCGUGCCUAAUACAUGCAAGUCGAGCGAACAGACGAGGAGCUUGCUCCUCUGACGUUAGCGGCGGACGGGUGAGUAACACGUGGAUAACCUACCUAUAAGACUGGGAUAACUUCGGGAAACCGGAGCUAAUACCGGAUAAUAUAUUGAACCGCAUGGUUCAAUAGUGAAAGACGGUUUUGCUGUCACUUAUAGAUGGAUCCGCGCCGCAUUAGCUAGUUGGUAAGGUAACGGCUUACCAAGGCAACGAUGCGUAGCCGACCUGCGAGGGUGAUCGGCCACACUGGAACUGAGACACGGACCAGACUCCUACGGGAGGCAGCAGUAGGGAAUCUGCCGCAAUGGGCGAAAGCCUGACGGAGCAACGCCGCGUGAGUGAUGAAGGUCUUCGGAGCGGAAAACUCUGUUAUUAGGGAAGAACAAAUGUGUAAGGAACUAUGCACGUCGUGACGGUACCUAAUCAGAAAGCCACGGCUAACUACGUG
rnacentral:rRNA from 1 species